GCCUGGGUGGCUCAGUCAGUUAAGCAACUGACUUCGGCUCAGGUCAUGAUCUCACGGUUCGUGGGUUCGAGCCCCACAUCAGGCU
rnacentral:tRNA from 1 species